AUCCUUUGAGGUUCCUAAGCAUGCUGAUUGGGUUUUCAGUCUAUUGUGAGGUGUGGUUCCUCCUGCCCCGUUACAAUCCCUGCACGUUACUCGGCUGCUG